rnacentral:rRNA from 1 species
UACGGAGGGUGCAAGCGUUGCUCGGAAUUAUUGGGCGUAAAGGGCAAGUAGGUGGUCUCAUUUGUCAGGGGUGAAAGCCUUGGGCUUAACUCAAGAAGUGCCCCUGAAACGGUGAGACUGGAGUCCUGGAGAGGGUCGUGGAAUUCCCGGUGUAGCGGUGAAAUGCGUAGAGAUCAUGAGGAAGACCAGUGGCGAAGGCGGGUCUCUGGACAGUUCCUGACACUGAGGCACGAAGGCCAGGGGAGCAAACGGG